rnacentral:rRNA from 1 species
UACGUAGGGUCCAAGCGUUGUUCGGAUUUACUGGGCGUAAAGGGCGCGUAGGCGGCUUAACAAGUCACUUGUGAAAUCUCCGGGCUUAACUCGGAACGGCCAAGUGAAACUGUCAAGCUAGAGUGCAGAAGGGGCAAUCGGAAUUCUUGGUGUAGCGGUGAAAUGCGUAGAUAUCAAGAGGAACACCGGAGGUGAAGACGGGUUGCUGGGCUGACACUGACGCUGAGGCGCGAAAGCCAGGGGAGCAAACGGG